AACCAACAGGGAUUGCCUCAGUAGCGGCGAGUGAAGCGGCAAGAGCUCAGAUUUGAAAUCGUGCUUUGCGGCACGAGUUGUAGAUUGCAGGUUGGAGUCUGUGUGGAAGGCGGUGUCCAAGUCCCUUGGAACAGGGCGCCCAGGAGGGUGAGAGCCCCGUGGGAUGCCGGCGGAAGCAGUGAGGCCCUUCUGACGAGUCGAGUUGUUUGGGAAUGCAGCUCCAAGCGGGUGGUAAAUUCCAUCUAAGGCUAAAUACUGGCGAGAGACCGAUAGCGAACAAGUACUGUGAAGGAAAGAUGAAAAGCACUUUGAAAAGAGAGUGAAACAGCACGUGAAAUUGUUGAAGGGGAAGGGUAUUGCGCCCGACAUGGGGAUUGCGCACCGCUGCCUCUCGUGGGCGCGCUCUGGGCUUUCCCUGGGCCAGCAUCGGUUCUUGCUGCAGGAGAAGGGGUUUCUGGAACGUGGCUCUUCGGAGUGUUAUAGCCAGGG
rnacentral:rRNA from 1 species